rnacentral:tRNA from 2 species
CAGGGUGUGGCUGAGCUAACUAAGCAUCUCACUUACACCGAGAAGACACCCAUGAAAGUUGGGUCACCCUGA